rnacentral:rRNA from 1 species
UACGUAGGAGGCGAGCGUUAUCCGGAUUUACUGGGUGUAAAGCGCGUGCAGGCGGUUGGCUAAGUUGGGUGUGAAAGCUCCUGGCUCAACUGGGAGAGGUCGCUCAAGACUGGCCGACUGGAGAGCAGUAAGGGAAGGUGGAAUUCCGGGUGUAGUGGUGAAAUGCGUAGAUAUCCGGAGGAACACCAGUGGCGAAGGCGGCCUUCUGGACUGCUUCUGACGCUCAGACGCGAAAGCUAGGGGAGCAAACGGG